rnacentral:rRNA from 1 species
UGCAUGUGGUGGAUGCCUUGGCGAUUACAGGCGAUGAAGGACGUGAUAGCCUGCGAAAAGCUUCGGGGAGCUGGCAAAUUAGCUUUGAUCCGGAGAUAUCCGAAUGGGGAAACCCACCCGCAAGGGUAUCGCAUACUGAAUACAUAGGUAUGCGAGGCGAACCGAGUGAACUGAAACAUCUAAGUAGCUCGAGGAAAAGACAUCAACCGAGAUUCCGAAAGUAGUGGCGAGCGAAAUCGGAGGAGCCUAGUCCUCUUUAGCAGUCGACUUAUCAAAACAGCUUGGAAACGCUGGCCAUAGUGGGUGAUAGCCCCGUAUGAGAAAAGUUGAUUGUGGAACUGAGUGGACGAUAAGUAGGGCGGGACACGAGAAAUCCUGUCUGAAGAUGGGGGGACCAUCCUCCAAGGCUAAAUACUCGUAAUCGACCGAUAGUGAACAAGUACCGUGAGGGAAAGGCGAAAAGAACCCCGGGAGGGGAGUGAAAUAGAUCCUGAAACCGCAUGCAUACAAAAAGUCGGAGCCUGGAAACGGGUGACGGCGUACCUUUUGUAUAAUGGGUCAGCGACUUACAUUCAGUGGCAAGCUUAACCGAAUAGGGAAGGCGAAGGGAAACCGAGUCCGAACAGGGCGUCGAGUCGCUGGGUGUAGACCCGAAACCAAGUGAUCUAUCCAUGGCCAGGAUGAAGGUGCGGUAACACGCACUGGAGGUCCGAACCGACUAGUGUUGCAAAACUAGCGGAUGAGCUGUGGAUAGGGGUGAAAGGCUAAACAAACUUGGAAAUAGCUGGUUCUCUCCGAAAACUAUUUAGGUAGUGCCUCAAGUAUUACCAUCGGGGGUAGAGCACUGUUUAGGCUAGGGGGUCAUGGCGACUUACCAAACCUAUGCAAACUCCGAAUACCGAUGAGUACAGCUUGGGAGACAGUGCACCGGGUGCUAACGUCCGGACACAAGAGGGAAACAACCCAGACCGCCAGCUAAGGUCCCUAAAAUUGGCUAAGUGGGAAACGAAGUGGGAAGGCUAAAACAGUCAGGAUGUUGGCUUAGAAGCAGCCACCAUUCAAAGAAAGCGUAAUAGCUCACUAGUCAAGCGACUCUGCGCCGAAAACGUACGGGGCUAAGCAUGAUACCGAAAUCGUAGAAUAUAUUUAUAUAUUGGUAGGGGAGCGUUGUGUUGUAGGUCGAAGUAUGAGCGUAAGCACAUAUGGACGAAGCACAAGUGAGACUGUCGGCUUAAGUAGCGAAAACAUUGGUGAGAAUCCAAUGCACCGAAAGACUAAGGGUUCCCACGCAAGGUUCGUCCACGUGGGGUUAGCCGGGAGCUAAGGCGAGGCCGAGAGGCGUAGCCGAUGCACAACGGGUUAAUAUUCCCGUGCCACUUAUUAUCCGCUAGGAGCUAAGUCGGGACGCAGGAGGCUAUACACAGGGGAGAGUUUGGUUUUCUCCCUCCAACAGCGUAGCUAGUCAGGGUAGGCAAAUCCGCCCUGGCGUUAUGACGUAAGGCCAAGUAAGAAAUACUCUACGGAGUAAAUUGUGUAGAUGCCACGCUGCCGAGAAAAGCGGCGAAAGCCAGGAUAAUGUGUGCUCGUACCCUAAACCGACACAGGUAGUCAGGUAGAGAAUACCAAGGUGCGCGAGAUAACUCUCUCUAAGGAACUCGGCAAAAUAACCUCGUAACUUCGGAAGAAGAGGUGCCAUGAUAGGGUGUAAGACUUCGCGUCUGAAGCCUGAGAUGGUCGCAGCGACGAGGCUCAAGCGACUGUUUAACAAAAACACAGGUCUCUGCUAAACCGUAAGGUGAUGUAUAGGGGCUGACUCCUGCCCAGUGCCGGAAGGUUAAGUGGAUCGGUUAGCGCAAGCGAAGCUGAAAAACAAAGCCCCGGUGAACGGCGGCCGUAACUAUAACGGUCCUAAGGUAGCGAAAUUCCUUGUCGGGUAAGUUCCGACCUGCACGAAUGGCGUAAUGAUGGCCACACUGUCUCCUCCAGAGACUCAGCGAAGUUGAAAUGUUUGUGAUGAUGCAAUCUCCCCGCGGAAAGACGGAAAGACCCCAUGAACCUUUACUGUAGCUUUACAUUGGACUUUGAACAGAUCUGUGUAGGAUAGGUGGGAGGCUUUGAAGUAAGGUCGCUAGAUCUUAUGGAGCCGACGUUGAAAUACCACCCUGGUGUGUUUGAGGUUCUAACCUUGUCCCGUUAUCCGGGAUGGGGACAGUGUAUGGUGGGCAGUUUGACUGGGGCGGUCUCCUCCCAAAGUGUAACGGAGGAGUUCGAAGGUACGCUAGGCACGGUCGGAAAUCGUGCUGAUAGUGCAUAGGCAUAAGCGUGCUUGACUGCGAGACUGACAAGUCGAGCAGGUAGGAAACUAGGACUAAGUGAUCCGGUGGUUCUGUAUGGAAGGGCCAUCGCUCAACGGAUAAAAGGUACUCUGGGGAUAACAGGCUGAUACCGCCCAAGAGUUCAUAUCGACGGCGGUGUUUGGCACCUCGAUGUCGGCUCAUCUCAUCCUGGGGCUGUAGCCGGUCCCAAGGGUAUGGCUGUUCGCCAUUUAAAGAGGUACGUGAGCUGGGUUUAAAACGUCGUGAGACAGUUUGGUCCCUAUCUUCCGUGGGCGCUGCAAGAUUGAGAGAGCCUGCUCCUAGUACGAGAGGACCGGAGUGGACACACCUCUGGUGUAUCGGUUGUCACGCCAGUGGCAUUGCCGAGUAGCUAAGUGUGGAAGAGAUAACCGCUGAAAGCAUCUAAGCGGGAAACUCGUCUCAAGAUGAGUCUUGCCGGGGCCUUGAGCCCCCUGAAGGGUCGUUCGAGACCAGGACGUUGAUAGGCUGGGUGUGGAAGCGCAGUAAUGCGUUAAGCUAACCAGUACUAAUUGCCCGUGAG